rnacentral:rRNA from 1 species
CCUACGGGGGGCUGCAGUGGGGAAUCUUGCGCAAUGAGCGAAAGCUUGACGCAGCAACGCCGCGUGGGCGAAGAAGGCCUUCGGGUCGUAAAGCCCUGUCGGAGGGGACGAAACCUUUUUUGGCUAACAUCCAAGAAAAUUGACGGUACCCUCAAAGGAAGCACCGGCUAACCACGUGCCAGCAGCCGCGGUAAUACGUGGGGUGCAAGCGUUGUUCGGAAUUACUGGGCGUAAAGCGCGUGUAGGUGGCCAAGCGGGUCAGAUGUGAAAGCCCU